rnacentral:rRNA from 1 species
UACAGAGGGUGCAAGCGUUAAUCGGAUUUACUGGGCGUAAAGCGUGAGUAGGUGGCUCGCCAAGUCGAUUGUGAAAGCCCUGGGCUCAACCUGGGAAUUGCAGUCGAUACUGGUGAACUAGAGUUCGGUAGAGGGUGACGGAAUUCCCGGUGUAGCGGUGAAAUGCGUAGAUAUCGGGAGGAACAUCGAUGGCGAAGGCAAUCACCGUGGGCCUGAACGUGAC